UACGUAGGGUGCAAGCGUUAUCCGGAAUUAUUGGGCGUAAAGAGCUCGUAGGCGGUCUGUCGCGUCGGCUGUGAAAUCCCGAGGCUCAACCUCGGGUCUGCAGUCGAUACGGGCAAACUAGAGUAUUGCAGGGGAGACUGGAAUUCCUGGUGUAGCGGUGAAAUGCGCAGAUAUCAGGAGGAACACCGGUGGCGAAGGCGGGUCUCUGGGCAAUAACUGACGCUGAGGAGCGAAAGCGUGGGGAGCAAACAGG
rnacentral:rRNA from 1 species